rnacentral:rRNA from 1 species
CUUUGUGGCCAAACCUCUUUGUUUGAUUUUGUCAGAUUUCAGAAGCUGAACAGGGCGGGGCCUGGUUAGUGCUUGGAUGGGAGACCACUGGGAAGUCCAGGUGCCACAGUGA